GCCGCCUCAUUGGCGCCCGCCGCGGCCGCCGGGAUAGCCGGGAAAGGGGAGCGCUGCCUGAGGAAGAGGAGGCGGUGCCGGCCGGGGCGGUGCGGUGCGCAGCGGCCGCGGCUAGUAGCUCGUUACCGCCAUCCCCCUUCCCGUCCCUUUACGAACUGGGGGCGAGGCGGACGAGCGCUCGCUACCACCAGAGUGAGGCCUGUCAGCUGAGGUAAAAAACCCGGCAAUGUUGAGGUAAAACCCUGCCAGUGCUGAGGUACUGUCCUUGACCUGCCGCACCGGGCCCUAUUGCUGUGGUCUGAAUUCCCCUUUCCGGGGAGGGCUGCUGGCUGGAGGGGCUCUCUGUGGGCCCCUAGGGCCGGUCUGGCUGGGCGAGAUGUCGAGAGGCCUGAAUCCUGCAGGCAGGGCCCGCAGUUUCUGGUGUUCAUCCGUAAUGAGAGAAGGAAAGUAGCGGCUUGGCGGCGACCGGAUUUCAGCAGCCCUGCAGCCCUCAUCCUUGGGUUUCUCUGGCCAGUGUAUGAUUGCUGUCUGAACCAUUCUGCGCUUUCGUCGUUUUUUGGGUUUGUUUUAACCGUGUUUAUAUGUAUAGCAGACAGCACAAGACGUGCUUGUAAAGGCCUCUUCACUUGCCUCCAGGCCGCGGGCGCUCCUUUAAGCCUCGUUUUCCGAAUCUUCUGUUAACUUUUCCUUCGUUUACCUCUGCCUCCUUCGGGCUUUGCGCUGCGUUCCUCUGGCAGCCUUCGCUCUCCAACUGUCACUCCCCAACCGCCGCUGCAGGUUCCAGCCUCUCCCUGCCUUUCGUCUCCCCCGGGGCAGCGCCCACGAGGCUGCCUCUGGAGCCUGAAACUACACCUGGAAACCGAGCGCCUGUCCGAGUGCUGCCUGGGCUCUGUGCCACUGGGAUACUUCUGAGUCCCAAACGAAACGAGCGCUGUGCUUCGUGAUCAAGUCUCGUUUCAGUUAUCUCCUCAUUUUGUGCGCUAUAAGCCUGUGCCAUGCUAUGGGUACCCUGUAUAAAGGCCAUCCUCUCCAGAUGAGCACCCUCUGCUGUGAUUCACUUUCCUACAUCAUCACUCCCCAAAGCAAAUUACAAAACUACCAAUGUGUGGUUAAGGUGUCCAGCAGUGCUAAAGGUGCGUGAAAAUGCUUUCAUAGCACUUUCUACACCUCAUAGUAGGUGAACUACCUACCAGCUUCACCCCAAGCUUGGUCCAUCUCUCAUGGUUAUAGCAGCAGUUGAUAAAAUACUUAAGCUUUUUGCCCAAGUACAGGGACCCUGAGGACAGAGUAGGCUGAGUUAGAGAUAGCUUGUUAUUUUUUGUUAUAAACCAGAACAAACAAGUAUUUGUGUUGUACUUUUUUAUUUGCUUUGUCUUAUCUUGUGUUACAGCAUUAAACUAAUAGAUAUUUUUAAUCUCAAAGCUUUCAAAUUCUGCAAAUUGCAGUGUUCUAUAGUCUAUAGCUCAGCUCAGCAUUGUUGGGAAUGUCUAACAUCAGAAGGAAUCUUACAGCACUUACAUAAGUUUAAAAACAUGAGUCGUAAUGGGCUUCAAAGCUUGUGGUAUGAAGCUGGGCAGAGGAAGGGCAGCACAGGUGCUGAGGGCACUUCCAUGGAGCUUCUGAAGAACUUGUUAAGAAAUGUUGGGAGCAACCUAUCUUGAAAAAAAGUGUCUGUUAGUCAUAGGUCUGAGCACAAAUCUUCCUGGGACUGCUGCAUGGACACAGGUGUUCUCACACUGAGCACAGCAGUGGAGACAGUACCAUAGAGGAGCACUGGAAAAGAAUCUGUAUGAAUUCUGCCGAAGUAGACAGAACAGGAAAAGAAAAGCUCUAAGGGCAUUUUCUAAAAUCCUCCCAGAUCCACUGUCAGGGUUAAACAAGAAGGAUUAUUUCAUCACUAAGAAAAUGAUGUAAAUAAGUAGGCUUGUGACUGGAUGAGGCACUUAGUGCCAUGGUCUAGUUGAUUGGAUAGGGCUGGGUGAUAGGUUGGACUGGAUGAUCUUGGAGGUCUCUUCCAACCUGGUUGAUUCUAUGAUUCUAUGAUUCUUUUGUGACUUGCACAACAGUUACAGAUACCUUACAAAUCAUAAAAUUGUUUAGGUUGGAAAAGACCUUUUAGGAUGAUUGUCUUCAACUGUAAACCUAACACUGCCACGUCCAUCACUAAACAGCUCUCUAAGUGCCACAUCUAUGUGUCUUUAUCUCCACCACUUCCCUGGACAGCCUGUUCAAUGCUUUACAAACCUUUUGGUGAAUUAAGUUUUCCCAAUAUCCAGCCUAAACUUCCCCUGGCACAACCUGAGGACAUUUCCUCUCCUCUUGUCACUUUUUACUUGAGAGAGGAGACUGACCCCCACCUCACUGCAACCUCCUUUCAAGUAGUUGUAAAGAGUAAUAAGGUCUCCCCUCAGCCUCCUUCAAUCCCAGUUCCCUCAGCUACUCCUUCUAAGAUACGUGCUCUAGAUUCUUCACUGGCUUUGUUGCUCUUCUCUGAAUGCACUCCAGCACCUCAGUGUCCUUGUAGUGCAAGGCAGUGACUAAAAUGAACGAACUUCACAUGAGACAGGAACUGGAAUUGAAGUCCAAAAGCUAUGAAUCCUAGAAAAAGGCAGAAAUUGAUUAGAUUUAGACAGAAAAUAGCAAUGGACAACCUAAACAAUCUCCUGACCAAGCAGACUACACAAAAAUAGAUAACUGGAACCAGAACAAGAAAUGCUGUUCUUCUGUGCAAGUGCUGGAAGUUUAAAAACUUAGUUGAGGACAUGGCAAUGUAUAACUUUAAAGGAGCACACUGAUAGAACUGAUUUUUAGGAAAUACUGAGAAGGAAUUGCAUUAAAGCCUCUCCAAUACCUGAUGACAGAAAGGGAUGAGAAGGCUACGGUUAGAAAACGAAUAGCAAAUAAACCAGGAAAUGCCAUUACACCAUUGUACAAAUCCAUCAUGCAUCCCUCCUUUAACUCUGUGUAAUUUGGUAUAGACUGUAUUUUGAAAAGAGAAUAGAGAGAAAGCCAAGAAAUAAGAUGGCUUGGUACAAUUCCUGCACAGGAGAGAUUUAAUACAAUGGGGAUUUUGAGGUCAGGGGAAAAAGAAAAAGGAAAACAGUUCAGGCUGAAUUUGAUAGAGGUCUGUCAAGAUCUUCAAUGGAAUGAGUGACUUAGUUCUCAAAACUGCUUUGUAUUGUUUGUCCUUGUGCUAUCUGGCAAGAUGCAAUAUUACAAGCAUUCACAGCCUCUUAUAGAGGCAACAGGUAGAAAUAAAACAAAUGUAAAACUCCA